CGCAUCUGUGCAUGCAGCAUAUCAAUAAGCGGAGGAAAAGAAACUAACAAGGAUUCCCUUAGUAACGGCGAGUGAAGCGGGAAGAGCUCAAAUUUGAAAUCUUCAAGGUUUUACCUUGACGAAUUGUAGUUUAAAGAAGUGUUUUCUGUUGAAGUUUUGGUAAAAGUUCUUUGGAAUAGGACAUCAUAGAGGGUGAGAAUCCCGUAUUUGACCAUUAUUUUCAGCUGUGUGAUACACUUUCAAAGAGUCGGAUUGUUUGGGAAUGCAGUCCAAAAUGGGUGGUAAAUUUCAUCUAAAGCUAAAUAUUGGCGAGAGACCGAUAGCGAACAAGUACCGUGAGGGAAAGAUGAAAAGAACUUUGAAAAGAGAGUUAAACAGUACGUGAAAUUGUCAAAAGGGAAGCGUUUGACACCAGUGUUGUUUUCUCGAAAAUCAAUUAAAAAGAGUUAGAUUUUGUUGUGUAUUGACCUUAACAGCUUGCAUUUCAAUUUUCUUGCUUUUUUUAAUGCACUUUUCGUUUAACAAGUCAACAUCAGUUUUCUUUUGUUGUAAAAAGGUCAUUGGAAGGUGGCUUUCUUUUCGGAGAAAGUGUUUAUAGCCUUUGACUCCUGCAAUCGGAGAGACUGAGGUCUGCAGCGUAGAUCCUUCGGGGUUAGAUACAUUUGUGCUAAGUUAUAGCUUUUUAUAGACAACUUGUUGACUAUGAUUAGUCUUGUAGCUUACUCGCUUAUGCUAUUUUACCUACGCUUAGGAUGUUGACACACGCGCGUGCUCG
rnacentral:rRNA from 1 species